rnacentral:rRNA from 1 species
AAUGAACGCUGGCGGCAUGCCUUACACAUGCAAGUCGAACGGCAGCAUGACCUAGCUUGCUAGGUUGAUGGCGAGUGGCGAACGGGUGAGUAAUGCAUCGGAACGUGCCUUUUAGUGGGGGAUAACGUAGCGAAAGUUACGCUAAUACCGCAUAUUCUCUGAGGAGGAAAGCCGGGGACCUUCGGGCCUUGCGCUAGAAGAGCGGCCGAUGUCGGAUUAGCUAGUUGGUGAGGUAAAGGCUCACCAAGGCAACGAUCCGUAGCGGGUCUGAGAGGAUGAUCCGCCACACUGGGACUGAGACACGGCCCAGACUCCUACGGGAGGCAGCAGUGGGGAAUUUUGGACAAUGGGCGCAAGCCUGAUCCAGCCAUGCCGCGUGAGUGAAGAAGGCCUUCGGGUUGUAAAGCUCUUUCGGCUGGGAAGAAAUCGCACCCUCUAAUACAGGGUGUGGAUGACGGUACCAGCAUAAGAAGCACUGGCUAACUACGUG